rnacentral:lncRNA from 1 species
CCCUUACCCCCUCCCCCCUGCACACAUUUGUUUUUGUAAUUAACUUUUUUUUCCUUUUACUGCCCCUCCCCCCAAAAAAAUUUAAAUAUAUUUUCAGUUUUUAAUUUUAUUAUUUAUUGAUUUAAUGGCUCAAAAUUUUACAAGUUCCAAAAUUAUGAGUUCGGAUGUUUAUGUGUUUGGAAGUUUACGGGUUUGAAAAUACGCGGUUUUUACGUUAAAAAGUAAAACAUCACAUUAGUUCCUUUAGAUUGUGUCAAUUUUUAGAGACUUAGGGAAGGCGUGAGGGAGGGG